UACGAAGGGAGCUAGCGUUGUUCGGAAUCACUGGGCGUAAAGCGCACGUAGGCGGAUUUCUAAGUCAGGGGUGAAAUCCUGGAGCUCAACUCCAGAACUGCCUUUGAUACUGGGAAUCUCGAGUCCGGGAGAGGUGAGUGGAACUGCGAGUGUAGAGGUGAAAUUCGUAGAUAUUCGCAAGAACACCAGUGGCGAAGGCGGCUCACUGGCCCGGUACUGACGCUGAGGUGCGAAAAGCGUGGGGAGCAAACAGGG
rnacentral:rRNA from 1 species